rnacentral:rRNA from 1 species
CGUGAGGGAAAGGCGAAAAGAACCCCGGCGAGGGGAGUGAAAAAGAACCUGAAACCGUGUACGUACAAGCAGUGGGAGCACGCUUCGGCGUGUGACUGCGUACCUUUUGUAUAAUGGGUCAGCGACUUAUAUUCUGUAGCAAGGUUAACCGAAUAGGGGAGCCGAAGGGAAACCGAGUCUUAACUGGGCGUUAAGUUGCAGGGUAUAGACCCGAAACCCGGUGAUCUAGCCAUGGGCAGGUUGAAGGUUGGGUAACACUAACUGGAGGACCGAACCGACUAAUGUUGAAAAAUUAGCGGAUGACUUGUGGCUGGGGGUGAAAGGCCAAUCAAACCGGGAGAUAGCUGGUUCUCCCCGAAAGCUAUUUAGGUAGCGCCUCGUGAAUUCAUCUCCGGGGGUAGAGCACUGUUUCGGCAAGGGGGUCAUCCCGACUUACCAACCCGAUGCAAACUGCGAAUACCGGAGAAUGUUAUCACGGGAGACACACGGCGGGUGCUAACGUCCGUCGUGAAGAGGGAAACAACCCAGACCGCCAGCUAAGGUCCCAAAGUCAUGGUUAAGUGGGAAACGAUGUGGGAAGGCCCAGACAGCCAGGAUGUUGGCUUAGAAGCAGCCAUCAUUUAAAGAAAGCGUAAUAGCUCACUGGUCGAGUCGGCCUGCGCGGAAGAUGUAACGGGGCUAAACCAUGCACCGAAGCUGCGGCAGCGACACUAUGUGUUGUUGGGUAGGGGAGCGU